rnacentral:rRNA from 1 species
CGUCUGGGGAGACUGCCGGUGAUAAACCGGAGGAAGGCGGGGAUGACGUCAAGUCCUCAUGGCCCUUACAUCCCGGGCUACACACGUGCUACAAUGGCAGGUACAGAGGGCUGCGAAGCCGCGAGGUGGAGCGAAUCCCAGAAAACCUGUCUCAGUCCGGAUUGAAGUCUGCAACUCGACUUCAUGAAGGCGGAAUCGCUAGUAACCGCGGAUCAGCACGCCGCGGUGAAUACGUUCCCGGGCCUU